GUAUACCUCAACGUGGAAUAAAAAGACUUUAGAGAUUACCUGUAGAUAUAAACAUAUUAUUUAAAUUAUUAAAAUGACAGGUUUUGGGGCUUUGGGACGAGGGUAUAAAAAGGAAAACUUAUCAAGAAACAUGCCCUCAGGAAGAAAACUGUGUGCCUAAAAGCUAGACGUGAAUAGGAUUGCCAUCUGCAGAUGAGCAGGCAAGGCCUCCAGUGUUUGGGAAGACAUCACUUCAAUAUUGUAGUGUGACAGAAGAGACUGAGAACUAUUCUAGUCACAUUUAUGUAGUCACCACUCAUGUGAUAUCUGAGUGAAAGUAACAGCAUGACCGCUGAUGCUGCAGCUGUGACUGUCACCUGGGCACUCAGCUCUGCAGUCAUUCCUUUUAAGACCAAGCUAUAGCUCAAAGUAGUCCAAUAUUCAAAUUUGAGGUCACACCAAAACUAUAAAAUAGAUCUUUGAUGUAGUUGAAAUAAUGAGUAGUAUAUGACAAAAUCCUGCAGAAUAAAAGAGAAAAUGACUCCCCAAACUGUCCUUCAUUACUUCAUGUGGCUUCAAAGCUACCUUUAAGGAGAAGUGAUCUCUUUGAAUGAGCAAGGCUUAUUAGUCAAACAUCAUUUUUAUCAUAGCUACCAUUUACUUACACACCUACUGUGUGCCAAGCAUCGUUUCAGCCAUUUUGUUUCGUUCACCAGGUAUACAAUAAAUUACAAAACAAAUCUAGACCCAAAGGUCAUGGCUCACAGCCUAGCAGAGGACAUAAACUUCAAGCAAGUAACAAAUAAAUGAUUCAAAAUUAUAAUGAAGGCUAUAAAGGAAAAGAAGAGGUUACUAAGUUAAAUUAUAACAGAGAUUGAGUGUGUAGGGCACCUGUAGGGAAUUUCGUUAAGACGCUUUCAGCUACGAGGAAAAGAAACUCUGAACCAAAGUGGCCUGCGCAAUAAAGAAGUUUCUUCUCUCGGUAACUGAUGGAGAGCUAGAGCAGGUUUUGCAGCUGGUGGUUUCAGUGGCUCAACCAUAUUAUCAGGCUCCUGGGUUCUUGUUUUGGCUCUGCUGUCCACAGUAUCAAUUUCCUUUUAAGCCUGAGUCUUUUUAUGGUUAUAAGAAGUCUCAAAAAAAAUUAGAUGUUUAUUUUUCUCUCACUUAAAGAGUUGCAACUUGGAUUUCUUGUCUUCUUGGUCAUGUCCAGCAGGAGAGGGAAAGAGGAGUAUGCUAGGACUGAGUCCUUCCCUUCGGGCUAAUUGGUGCACCGUGGCAGAAAGACUGCUAGUUUUGCAUCAAGAUCCAUGAUCCUAAGUUUUCAGUGGGGCACAGAGCCACCUGGAACAAAGAUUACAUUUCCCAGCUUUCCUAAGAACCAGAUGUGCCCUUUUGACUGUUUUGGCAAUAGAGGUAAGUGGAAGUGAUUUCUGGGCUAUAUUCUUACAAGGAAGGGGUGUACCCUUCCCUGUCCCUUCGUGCUUCCUGCUGCUGCAAUGUGAAUAUGAUCUGAAGAUCUACAGCCACAUGUGAAGGUAGCAAGGCAAUAUGGACCCUGAGUGCUUGACAGCUAUAACACCAUCCCAGCCCCCGGCUGUCUCCUUCCUCACUUCUUUUAAAUGAGGGACAUAAAUGAAUUUCUGUUUCAUUCAAACCACUAAUUAGGAGAGUUUUCUGCCAUGUGAAGCUCCAAACUAAUAUAUUUUCCUUAAGUCAUUGCCCAGGCAAGGCUGGGUACAGUGGAUCACACCUGUAAUCUCAGUGCUUUCCGAGGCUGAAGCAGGAGGAUCGCUUGAGCCCAUGAGUUUGAGGCUGCAGUGAGCUAUGAUGGCACCUCUGUACACCAACCUGAGCAACAGAGCAAGACCCUAUCUCUGAAAACUAAGGUUGUUGGCAGACAGAGGAAUGCCACGGCUGACCGACUUCUUCCUGUGAACCUCUAGAAAGUUCUUCCUAAAUUGCCCCAAAGGUUAUCCAGCCUCAAAAGAAGAGAUAAAAGCCUAUUUCUGCCUUUUCUGAGUCACAUGAUGUUCUCUACAAGAUUGCUUCUCUCUGCCUGAAUUUCUCAUCCAGCAAUCCAGUUAGGCUGAAACGAGUAGCAGGCCAUCUCUCUUAAGCAUGUAAAAGAAGAAAAUUUGUUGUUCUCUUUUUCUUAUCUGGGGAGUGUCUGGCCACUCAUGAAGGAGAUGUUUCCAGCUGCUUUCAUCCCUUUGUUCCAAGGAUAUGAAGAAAGAAAAAGAGGUAAGAUGGUGAAGAAAAAUCUCAGAAGGAAAGGUUCAGAAGAGGAAGCUGAAUGAAUGAGAUUGCUGUGAUGAAGACUUGUUCACCAUCUGUUGUAUUGCUGCCUAACACAAAGACUCUUGGUAAUAAAGAAGAGAAGCUGUUAAAAGAAAGUUGAACAAGAGCAGGCAAAAUCUCUACAACUUUUGGAAGGAUUCAAAUAGAGCCUUGUACUGGAAACUCUAGUAGAUACUCUAUUCAAAAACUUGCUUUGGAAGAUACCGGAAGGACUGAUGCCAGUCCACCUACUUCUGAAAUUCACAUGCUAACAAAUUAACUGUAGAAACAAAACAGAAAACCCUGAACUCCAGCACACUGAGCUUGCUGACCAUGGAUGGUGCCCAGACACAUCCAAUGAAAAGAUUCCUUGCUGUCUCUGAUUUAUCUUGGAGUGAGUUAUUUGAGGACCUUGUGGAAUUAUUAAAGUACCAUCAGACAGUUUUAGAUCUAACAUGCUAUAAAUAAGUCUCUUAAGCAGCAACCCUAUCUGGUGAGCUCAAAUAAUCAAUUAUAGUUUUGUUAAAAAUCUUUUUAAUAUCUGACUUUGCUAAAAACGGGGUAGUUGAUUCAUUACUGAAGAUAUUAAUGCAGAUUUCAAUACUCAUUAUUCAUGAGGAACAUUCUAAAUCAAGCGUAUACAAUUCUUUGGUUCCUAAAUUUUUCUAAAAAUUAUUUCAGUGGUCAGUAUGUAUUAUCCAGUGGAAAAUGGGGUAUAUUAAUGAUAUUAAUAGAACUUAACCAUGAGUGAAGAUUUUGAAAUGGGCCGGGUGCAGUGGCUUACGCCUGUAAUCCCAGCACUUUGAGAGGCCAAGGCAGGCACAUCGCGAGUUCAGGGGAUCGAGGCCAUCCUGGCCAACACGGUGAAACCCCGUCUCUACUAAAAAUAUAAAAAUUAGCUGGGCAUGGUUGUGCGUGCCUGUAAUCCCAGCUACUUGGGAGGCUGAGACAGGAGAAUUGCUUGAACCAGGGAGUCAGAGGUUGCAGUGAGCCGAGAUAGCGCCAUUGCACUCCAGCCUGGUGACAGAGCGAGACUCCAUCUCAAAAAAAAAAAAAAAAAAAAAAAAUUGGAAUAUUAACUAUGAUGGACCUCUGUCAUUCAUGUCUAUUAUUUGUGGAAGAUGUUUUUCUCAAUGCUUUCUCCAUGUGGUGAUAGUUUCCCACAUUGUGCACUGUGCCUCCCCAACACAGAAUUGAAAAAACUACAUCUCCCAGCACAACUUGCUGUUAAGAGUACAAACAUGUGACAGAGUUCACCAAUCAGAUACAGCUUAAUGAGCCCUUGAUUUGAUCAACUGCUUGGCAAAAUAGUGCCAUGACAUCCAUAUUUGCAAGCAUGGGUGUUUCUGAGUUUAAGGGUAAGUGAAGUGCUUCUGGAAUCACAGCAGAAGCAGCAUAGUUUGGGUGGUCAUUGGUGGCAAUGGUUCUUUCUAGAUUAUGGUAGAAGCAGCGUAAGUUUAAAGUCAGAUGAGUUAGCCUCUCCCCCAACAGGCAAUUUCUAUUAUUUGGUCUUGGGAGCAGUUCUAGGUCAACCUAGGUUUGCCCCACCUGUACUUUCAGUGAUUGGACAACUUCCUAAUAUCUCUUAAUAAAUCCCUUUCUGCUUAAACAGGCAUGGAUUCUAAUCUCUAUAACCAGUAACAUUCACUGGCAAAGUAUACACUGUCAGGCCUCUGAGCCCAAGCUAAGCUAUCAUAUCCCCUGUCACCUGCACGUACGCAUCCAGAUGGCCGGUUCCUGCCUUAACUGAUGACAUUCCACCACAAAAGAAGUGAAAAUGGCCUGUUCCUGCCUUAACUGAUGAUAUUACCUUGUGAAAUUCCUUCUCCUGGCUCAUCGUGGCUUAAAAGCUCCCCCGCUGAGCACCUUGUGACACCCCCCCAACCCCUGCCCGCCAGAGAACAACCCCCCUUUUCCCUUUACCUACCCAAAUCUUAUAAAACGGCCCCACCCCUAUCUCCCUUCACUCUUUUCGGACUCAGCCCGCCUGCACCCAGGUGAAAUAAACAGCCUUGUUGCUCACACAAAGCCUGUCAGGUGGUCUCUUCACAUGGAUGCACGUGAAAUUUGGUGCCGUGACUCGGAUCGGGGGACCUCCCUUGGGAGACCAAUCCCCUGUCCUCCUGUUCUUUGCUCUGUGAGAAAGAUCCACCUACGACCUCGGAUCCUCAGACCGACCAGCCCAAGGAACAUCUCACCAAUUUUAAAUCCGGUAAGCAGCCUCUUUUUACUCUCUUCUCCAGCCUCUCUCACUAUCCCUCAACCUCUUUCUCCUUUCAAUCUUGGCGCCACACUUCAAUCUCUCCCUUCUCUUAAUUUCAAUUCUUUUUCUUUUCUGGUAGAGACAAAGGAGACGCAUUUUAUCCGUGGACCC